UACGUAGGGGGCAAGCGUUGUCCGGAUUUAUUGGGCGUAAAGAGCGUGUAGGCGGCCAUGUAGGUCCGUUGUGAAAACUCGAGGCUCAACCUCGAGACGCCGAUGGAAACCAUGUGGCUAGAGUCCGGAAGAGGAGAGUGGAAUUCCUGGUGUGGCGGUGAAAUGCGCAGAUAUCAGGAGGAACACCGGUGGCGAAGGCGGCACUCUGGGCCGGUACUGACGCUGAGGAGCGAAAGCGUGGGGAGCGAACAGG
rnacentral:rRNA from 1 species